UGCAGAACCUCAGUGUGAAACCACAUGCACGGGCAGGGGUCCACAUGGGGUGGAUCCACCCCUCUUAGUCUUGUCCUGUGGUGGUCCUGAGCCAUGUCUCCCCCAUCUUGUUUGUGCAUCAGUGACAGGAGCAAAAGAGAGAGACGCCCAGGACUUGUAGGAGCUGCAGGAGGACCCUCUCCCUUCCGCAUGAGGAGAGGCAUGAGGGUGUGAACUCUGACCAGCUAGAGUGAUUUUGUAACCACCAGAUAAGAAACUGCAGCUGCUGAGGGGCCACUCUGAGCAGUCCAGGAAUGAAGUCAACACCACAAAAGGCAGACGAGCGAGAUGGUGAGAAACCAGGUCCUGGGGUAUCCUUUGAGGCACUGGACCAAGUCUGACCUGAGGUCUGUCUGACUACUGGACUCUUCAGUUAUGUGAAUGAAUACAUUUUCUUCAUUAUCUAA
rnacentral:lncRNA from 1 species